rnacentral:rRNA from 1 species
UACGUAGGGGGCAAGCGUUGUCCGGAAUCAUUGGGCGUAAAGAGCGCGUAGGCGGCCCUGUAAGUCCGCUGUGAAAGUCAAGGGCUCAACCCUUGGAUGCCGGUGGAUACUGCAGGGCUAGAGUCCGGAAGAGGCGAGUGGAAUUCCGAGUGUAGAGGUGAAAUUCGUAGAUAUUCGGAGGAACACCAGUGGCGAAGGCGGCUCACUGGUCCGGUACUGACGCUGAGGAGCGAAAGCGUGGGGAGCGAACAGG